UUUUACAUUUGUCUUGAUGAUUGUAUUAGCCUGUUGUGAAAAGGUUAGAAGGAGUUUUCCAGCUAAUUUCAUCUGUUUGUUUCUUUUUACAUUUUUUCAAUCAUUUUUAUUAGGCUCAGCAGCAAGGUAUGUAAUAGUUUUGCUAAUUUACAUUUGUUAAAUUAUGUGUAGCAUUGUGAUUUUUUAUCUAACUGGGUGCUUGCAACUUGAGAAAAAGUGAAGUGAUUUUGCCUAAACCUGUGAUUUGAAUCAGAUUUAAUUGGAUACCUGUAAGUAACGUCACGCGUGUGAGUCGAAGCAGAUUGACUUUUGAAUAGGCAAAUACCACGAUUUACCUACGAUGACGUCACUUGCAGGUAUCCAAUUCUUUUCAAUAUCUAAUGCCUUUAAUAUAAUAACAGCACGUAGCUUUAUUAUUUUUAAGAGUAAGUUUCGUUUAAAAUAGCUUACACCACUUUUCAAUCAAUUGUGAUAGCUAUAAAAGUGUUUCCCCCCCCCCCUAACUUUCUGGUUGUACCAAGAAUAUAAUUUUUUAUAACUACGAUUUUACAAAUCUAUUAAAGAAAAACAAAAGGAGAUAGAAAUGUAGGGAUUGCCGUGUUCUGCUUAGAAAACGAAAUUUAUAAUCACCAGACUUCAAAUUUCGUUGCAAAGUUCAUCAAAAGAUGGCGCUAUUGACUCAAAAACUAUAAAACAAUAUUUUUUUGAUUUGCCAGAGCAUCCUAGCUGGAUUUUUUUUAAUAGUCUGUUGAUUUUCGAGCACGGUUUGAUAGUGAAAAAAUAGCUGAAUUUGUAAUUUUAUUAAUUAUUUAUACACAUUUUUAUUACAUUAAUAAAAAAUUGUAUGUAUAUACAUAUUUUUUUUUUUAAAGAAAAUCAGGAUGUGCAUAAUCAACUUCUUGCUUCUGUGAUGCUUCUAAUCUUAUAAAUAAAAUUAAUUCUUUGUUAGCUUAUGUAACUGCUUAAAAUCUUGCAAUCUACAAUUUUCUUCAGAGAAUACUUUUCAAUAAUGUGUAAAAAUAGCGAAUUUCUCAAAAUUAUUUGAUUUUUUUUUUUUUUAAAUUGAUAGCAUAAAACCCGUUCUUCUUAUAAGGUAAAAAAAAAAAAAUCGAAAAUUAUAGAUUAACACUGCACAUUUA